rnacentral:hammerhead_ribozyme from 1 species
GUACCGCUGAAGAGUCCCAAACCAGGACGAAACAGCUGUCCAGUAC